UACAGAGGUCCCAAGCGUUGUUCGGAUUCACUGGGCGUAAAGGGGGCGUAGGCGGUCGGGUAAGUCUGACGUGAAAUCUCCGGGCCUAACCCGGAAACUGCGUUGGAAACUGCCUGGCUAGAGGAAUGGAGGGGAGACUGGAAUACUUGGUGUAGCGGUGGAAUGCGCAGAUAUCAGGAGGAACACCGAUGGCGAAGGCAGAUCUCUGGGCCGUAACUGACGCUGAGGAGCGAAAGCAUGGGGAGCGAACAGG
rnacentral:rRNA from 1 species